rnacentral:rRNA from 1 species
AACGUAGGUUCCGAGCGUUAUCCGGAUUUACUAGGCGUAAAGCGCGUUCAGGCGGUUUGGCAAGUCGGGCAUGAAAUCUCUCGGCUCAACCGGGAGAGGUUGUCCGAUACUGCUGGACUUGAGGGCAGUAGAGGGUGGUGGAAUUCCGGGUGUAGUGGUGAAAUGCGUAGAUAUCCGGAGGAACACCAGUGGCGAAAGCGGCCACCUGGACUGUACCUGACGCUGACACGCGAAAGCUAGGGGAGCGAACGGG